AACGAACGCUGGCGGCAUGCCUAACACAUGCAAGUCGAACGAGAUCUUCGGGUCUAGUGGCGCACGGGUGCGUAACGCGUGGGAAUCUGCCCUUUGGUUCGGAAUAACAGUUGGAAACGACUGCUAAUACCGGAUGAUGACGAAAGUCCAAAGAUUUAUCGCCAGAGGAUGAGCCCGCGUAGGAUUAGCUAGUUGGUGUGGUAAAGGCGCACCAAGGCGACGAUCCUUAGCUGGUCUGAGAGGAUGAGCAGCCACACUGGGACUGAGACACGGCCCAGACUCCUACGGGAGGCAGCAGUGGGGAAUAUUGGACAAUGGGCGAAAGCCUGAUCCAGCAAUGCCGCGUGAGUGAUGAAGGCCUUAGGGUUGUAAAGCUCUUUUACCCGGGAUGAUAAUGACAGUACCGGGAGAAUAAGCUCCGGCUAACUCCGUGCCAGCCGCCGCAGUA
rnacentral:rRNA from 1 species